UACGUAGGGGGGCAAGCGUUGUCCGGAUUUAUUGGGCGUAAAGAGCGUGUAGGCGGCUUUACAGGUCCGUUGUGAAAACUCGAGGCUCAACCUCGAGACGCCGGUGGAAACCGUAAGGCUAGAGUCCGGAAGAGGAGAGUGGAAUUCCUGGUGUAGCGGUGAAAUGCGCAGAUAUCAGGAGGAACACCCGUGGCGAAAGCGGCUCUCUGGGACGGUACUGACGCUGAUGCGCGAAAGCCAGGGGAGCGAACGGG
rnacentral:rRNA from 1 species